CCUACGGGUGGCAGCAGUGAGGAAUAUUGGUCAAUGGGCGGAAGCCUGAACCAGCCAAGUCGCGUGAGGGAAUAAGGCCCUACGGGUCGUAAACCUCUUUUGCCGGGGAGCAAGGGCGGGGACGUGUCCCGGCCCGGAGAGUACCCGGAGAAAAAGCAUCGGCUAACCCCGUGCCAGCAGCCGCGGUAAUACGGAGGAUGCGAGCGUUAUCCGGAUUUCUUGGGUUUAAAGGUUGCGUGGGCGGGCUUUUAAGUCAGCGGGAAAAAUUGGGGUCCCAACCCCGUCCGGCCGUUGAAACUGGGGGCGUUGAGUGGGCGAGAAGAAGGCGGAAUGCGUGGUGUAGCGGUGAAAUGCAUAGAUAUCACGCAGAACCCCGAUUGCGAAGGCAGCCUUCCGGCGCCCAACUGACGCUGAGGCACGAAAGUGCGGGGAUCGAACAGGAUUAGAUACCCCUGUAGUC
rnacentral:rRNA from 1 species